GGGGCCUCUCCGCUAAUGGCGGGUAGGGGUUUUCCCCGCCGCCUCUGGUAUGUAACUCUGGAGCUUCCCUCUGGGCUUAGGUAUAAUUGUGGGGGGCUUAGGUAGGGCUGUGGUCACCUGUUUCCACCAUCACUCCUCUGGUGUGCGCUCCCUCCUGCCCUUGGUGUGUGGCGAUGUUCUGGGGGCGUCCGCUGGAAGAAAGCCGCUUGCAGACCCAUAGGAGCAUUAUACUUUCCUGAUUAUGAAAAGAAAGGAAGAAAUAAAAUCCCUUGGAAAUCUAAGUAAACAUAGCAGGAAGAAAUGCACAUAUUCCUGGGAGAAGAAAAGCUACCAUGAACCCUACACUUCCACUCUCUUCUUGGAAGUCACCCACUGCAGAGAAUCACAGGAAACACUCUUACUACUGUCUCCAUAGAAUCAUCUUGGAACACGUUGUGACUUUAAAAUAAGCAUAAUUUUCUGAAAAUCCCAUGGGAGACAUCAGGGAAAGAGAAAAUAGAACUCUAGAGAUAGAUAAAUUCUUUCUUUACAAAGUUAUUAAAUUAUUAAAGUUUCAUGGUAUGCUAUUGCAAGAACAAA
rnacentral:lncRNA from 1 species